rfam:Callithrix jacchus chromosome 10, whole genome shotgun sequence
UAAAAGGCUUUUUUUAAAGCCACACUUUCUCUCAAAAGCUACUGA